AGGUAAUCUCUCAAUCAUUGUACAAAAUUCACUUGAGGAGAGGCCAUUUGAAAAAAAAAAAAUAAUGGUCAACAUCAGCUUCCUGAAGAGAAAUGUUCAUCAUUUGAAUUCAUAUUUCAAAUGACCGAUUACAUUUCUUGAAAGUGGAGAUUUCAUAGAAAUUAAUAGUUUGCUGAACGUUCAUAUAUGCUGGAAACUAAUGUAUAUGAAGAGGUUAUCAAAUAAGCUGGAAGCCAUUAUGUAUGCUGAAAGUCAUUGCAUAAGAAUAGGUCUUGGACUUUUGUGGAAUCUUCUGCUCCAAAACAUUAUAAGCAUGGUGAAAACUCAUUAGUGUCGAGCUUAGCCAAAAUGUUUCAUUAUUUUAUCUAUAAAUAUUUUUCUGUUUGUUGUAUAGCCUGGAUAAAAAUCACAUAUUUAUAUUUCAUUGUUAACAAAUGAAUAUUUUUAAGUGAUGUGUGCAGUCAGAAUUGAAAAUUUUCCUCUGCAUAAAUUCCCACCUUGUAAAUUUUAAACAUGCAUUUUAAGGCAUUGGUGAAGUGGUGGAUACUGUUACUGAAUGUAAUCUAUGUAGUUUUUAUAAAACGAUUUGUAAUUUGGUAUUUUUUGCAGAAAACUUACGGUUGUGGGUUUAAAGUAUAUAUAAAUAGUACCCGAGCUGUGAUUCAUUAAUACUAGAAUAAAGACUUUAAUGGAAUUUGAUGUUAUGGCUUAAAAGUGCUGUUUUAUAUUUAAAAAAAUAACUUUCAAGUUUAAAACUAUUUUAAAUUAAAUUGUUUUCUUUCUGAAUGAAUUGUGAGAGCCAAAAGCUGUUAUACUACAUAAGCUACAUAAAGGUUGCUAGGAAUAAUCACAGUUGUAAAUUAAUGUAAUGCAAUAUUUUUAGUUGUUAUACAUUAUAAUGCAUUUUCCUAUUCAAAACUGAAAUUUUGUGAACAUUAAUAAUGAAUAUUUAAAUCUGAUUCUGUAUUAUGUGAGUUUUUGCUUGUAAAUUUUGCAUAAUGCUUAUGAGAAACUCAUUGAAUAUUGUGUCAUUCAAACUGUAUGCUAAUAAUAUUUUAAUUAAAAAUUUUGCUAACUUAAUAAUUUAUAUUUAUAAUUAUAUCCAAAUGUAUUGUCACAUUACAAAUUAGCCAAUUGGUGAAUCCUUGAAGCUUAGAAUUAUCGUUAUUGAUUUUUAAGAAGCUGUUCUGUCUGGUGAAAAAUAUAUCCCUUAGCCCUUUUUCUAAAUUUAUGCUUCAAAAGUUCUUUUUUUUUUUUUUUUUUUUUUUUAAUUAUUUGAAUUUUAUUGAAUUAAAAAAUAUAUUAGUAAUACUGCCCCUUCUUCCAAGAUUUAUUAACUUGAUUAAGGGACUCAAUCUGAGAAAAUUUGUAGUUAUGCAAAUAUAGUUUUUCAUGGAAACUGUUUCAAAGGAAUUGUAUUUGCUAUGAUUUUAAGUAGGUGUGUAUCUUAUUUUUAAUUAGAUUGAUAAAUUAGCUAAAAUUUGAUUUGGAAAAAAUCUGUCCAAGUAUCACAGUUGGAAAUAGCAAAUUUUUAUGAUUAAAAAUAGGUCUGUGUUUGUCCUUUUAUUAUUGGUGAUGGAUAAUAAAUAUUUUAAAAAUAUCAGGAGUAAAUUUUGUUUGUGGUAAUAAGAAGAUACAGUAGUAUUUUUUGUGUUCUCUGAUUAUCUGCACCUCCAAUUUCAAUAUUCAAUGUAAUAGCCGUAUUUUUGAGUAUACAUGCUAUAAUAGCCAACUAAACAAAUUUUACUGGCUAUGAAUGUAUACAUAUAAUCAUAGUUUCUCUAAUCUGCGUACUCAGUUGGCCCUACAAAUUUUAGUUUUUUCCAAAAGAAUUUCAUUUUUGUUAUAAAACUUUAUUAUUUUUUUUUAACAUCAUGAGUGUGCUGUAAAAAUAUCCGAACCAAUGUUUUUUGCUAGUUUACAAUUUCAUCAAUCAGUUGGCAAUUUUUAGUAGGGGUGCAGAUAAUUUCAAAGUACGAUAUUUUUUAUUUGGUAGUGGUAAGAAAUGGUUUUAGUUUUUGUUGCUAGUCAUGUGGUAAAUAAACUUGCCAUUCUAAUAAUUCAGUACUUUCAGAAUUUUUAUUUUGUUUCGUUUUUCUGGUAGAAAACAGAACUUUUCCUUUUUAUAUUGUUUUUACUGGUGUUAGUGCCAAAAUUUUUACAUAUUGCUAUCAGAAGUAUCUAUCUGUGCUAAGGAUUGCUUUAUUUUUACUAUUGUUUUGACUGUUUAAAAUGCUAAAUAAGAAAGUCACAGAUUGGCUAGUUUAUAUCAUUAUUGUUACAUGUAGAAAAGCAGUGGAAAAUUGGAAGAAUAAUUCAAAUUGAAAUGAUGUCAUCCUGUUUUUUGUAUGCAUUUUAAUUAUUUAUUGUUAAAAUUACUUCCAUUUAUAUUAGUUAAAAGCUAUAGAUUUAUGUGUAAAUUGAAUAAUACUUUUAUUUUAAUAAUUUUUAAUCUGUCUUAAAAAUGUUCAUAUAUUCAAUCUGGCAAAAUGUUGUAUUUAGUGAAAACUUAAAGGUUACAUUAAUGUGAAAUAAAUACAGAAAUGUCUUCAUAAUCAAAAUCAUUAUAUUUGCACAAUAUUCUUCAGUGUUGCAACCCAAAAUGUCAUCGAAUCAUUUCCUAUUUCUAGUUUUGUAAGUUGAGAAGCUAUCCCACAACAAUUAUUGAUCUGUGAGAAAUAUUUUAGAAUCGUAAAAAAACUAGAUGUAUUACUUAUUUGCUUCACUUAUUAAAAUGUGCGUUAAAAUAUCUUGAACCAUAUUUAUUGUUUACGAAGGAAAUUUAAAAAAAAAAAAAAAAUUACAAAUUACAUCUAACUUCUUGUUUUAUUAUUUAGUUUUAUUUAACAAAUUUUUAUCUCAAUAUUUACAUGACUGAAAUAAUUAAUGUUUCUUACUAAGCAAAAAAUCACCACAUGUUUUUGUUGAGACAUUGGUUGAAUCAUUUUAUUAGGUGACUUUCUGAAACAAUUUAACAGUUUAAUAUAAAUCUGCUGUUAUAGCUGUAAAAGAUUCUGAAAGUGAAUUUGGAAAUAAAUUUGGUAAAAAAAUUUAAUAAGAAUAAUAAUUUAUGAUAAUUAUGUUGAUGUAAGUUCCUUGAGACCUUGGUAAUUUAAUUUUUUAAUUAUAUCAUGGAAGAUAUUUUCAUGCAUUUAAAUAUGAUACUAGAUGAAGAAAAACAUUUCUUAAAAAAUAAAUAAAUAAAGGAAUUCUGUGCAUAGAAGACAGUUAUAUUGUAUAUCCUUAACAGCUGAGAAACCAACAUAAAUAUGAAAUAAAUUACCUAAAUGGUAUGAUCUUAAUGUAAUUUAUUUUUUUUAUGGUGAAAUGAUGAUAUAAAUAAAAUAUAUCUUUCAAUGUUUUAAACUUCAGGAUUUGAGAAAUUGCCAGCUUUAAUAUUUUCAAGCACACUGCUGCAGCACUGUCAUCAACAUUAAUUGUCAACAUUAAUUGUCAACAUUUUCUAUGCAACCCUUUUUUACCUCUUCAUUAACAAGGGUAAAUCUAGUAUUAGAAUUGUAAACAUUUUCCAGACCAGCUUUAUUUUGGUGGACCUGUGUAGUGCCGUUUGCUCACCUGUUGUGGACGCUUGCCUCCUUACCGGGCGCUCUCUUACUUGAUAGUGGCAGAUGUAAAGCAAAACUGAGUAACUUAUGGUCAAUAGAAGGUGCCCCCAUCCUCCGUCAACAAUCAUCAGCCCUGAAGUGCUUUGCUGUAACAAAACAAUCCAAACCUGGCUCAGAGAUACUCAUAUUUGUUGGUAUUGUUUUGUAAAAUAUAACCUUUUGUUACUCUGUUUUUUUUUUUUUUUUUGUUUUUUUUAAUACUUUGGUUGGUUGGCAUAAAAAAAGACUCAUAAAUUGUGUUGAUGCCAAGAAUUUAAUUAAUUAAAAAAAGUUAAAAGUGAGAUUCCUAAUGGCUGUAAAAUACAGAUGUAAAGUACAUGUUUAUAAAGAAUGUUCUUUAGUUUUGAUUAAUGUCAAAUAAUUUAUAAAUCAUAAUCAGCAUUUUUAAAGCUACUGUUCUUUAUCUUAAAAUUCUAAUAUUAUUUCAUACACAAACAUUUGAUUAAUUGUAUGCCAUAUUCAUUUUUCAAAAAAGGGAUGCUUUCAAAUAUAGUUCUUUCGUAAAGUUUUUCUAGUUUAAACUUCAUGAUAAAAGAACUUGUUGGAUCUGUUACAGAAGAUAUUUGUUGACUGAUAGCAAAACUGAUAUUGCCCAUAAAUAAUUUUUAAGUAUUAUUUGCAUUGUUGCAGUGGAGGAUGAUUGCCUAGCACAUUUUGAGCAUUUUUUUGGAAUUGUAAUUAUGCCAUGUAGAAUUUUAUUAUGAAUUAUAUGUAAAUAUAGAUUUAACAUUGAUAUUUAAGUUACUUCAUGCAUUUUACAAAUUUUGUUUUGAACAAAAUCAUGUCAUGUAAAAUUUUAAAAGUAUUUAUGUGACCAAAAUAAAUAUUUUUAUUUUCA
rnacentral:lncRNA from 1 species